CUCAAACCGCCCCCGUUUGCCGCACCGUUCGCAUCGCUGUCGCUCGUCGCCGGAUAAAUCACACAGUUCUGACUUACAAUACGAAACCCGUGCGCGACUUACAAUACGAUCGGAAAAAAAAAUCUGCGGGUGGCUAAUUUACAGCAGGAUAACUGCGGCGGAGACUCGACUCGAAAGACGAAAAUCGCUAAAUCGCGACGCUAACUUGGCGAAAGGCUUAGUUGUUCCGACGACAAGACGCUGCCGUCGCCGCGUGUGUUUUGGAAACAGCACAAAUAAAAAAAAUCAUUUAUCAGAAGCCACUGGCAGCAUAUACUUGAUUGCAAACGGACCCGGCCCACCCACCCCGCGCCCCGAGUGAUAACAAAGAUAAUGCAGUAAAAGUUGCGAGAGCCAGAAACGUGACCCAGGCAAUUGUUUGUUUGUCUGCCACACACGCACAUAAAUGUACGUUUGUGUGUAACUGAGUGUGCUGAGUGUGUAGCGUGUGUGUGAGUCGCCGUUGUUGCGUUUUUUAAAUAAUAAUUAAAUAAUUAACAAAAAUAAAAAAAAAUUACAAAAAUCCAUUUCGAGUUUUUAGCUUGUUAUCGUUUUGAGCAGCAGCCUCUUUGUCUCUGUCUCUCAGUCUCGUUCUCCCUCACACACACGCUUGCUGCCCCCGCGCACCCGUGCGCAUCGUUCAACCCCACAAAACGCGGAAGAGCCAAAAAAAAAAAUACAAAAAAAAAAACAGCCGUCGCCGCUGCAUUUUUUAAGUUCACCAAAAUGUCCUCAAAUCUCAUUUAAAUAAAAAAAAUAAAUAAAAGAUUAAGUGUUUAAUAGAAAAGAAAAUAAAAGAAAAAGAGGCUUGAUAGAGAGAAGAAAAGCCAAACAACCAAAACAGCAACAAAUGGCCAACAAUUGAAUGGCGGCCAUCAGUGGCCCCCAGCGGCAUCCAUUGAGCAAUCAACACCAUUUCUCCCACAUCAACUCAAGCACCGUCACCACCACUGCCACCACCGCCACCAUCACCACCACCACCACCUCGUCCAUCACCGCUAGAACCACAGCAGCAUCAGCAGCAACCACCAGGAAAAGCAACAAUAGCACCACAUCCAUUGCUUCCAUUGCUACCACCACUGAAACCCGCCAGCCACAACAUUUGAGCUCCAGUGCCAGGAAACAAAAGCCAGUGCCAGUGCCAGUGCAGCAGCUGCUCGAAUUAUUUGGAAUACUUGCCGCGUAGUCCAUCAAUGAGCGUUUCGAUGUCCCUUGUACAGGGUGGUGCUGCUGGUGGUGCGCCCCAGGGCGCCAGCGCUAUUUUGGCCGCAGCGGCUCCCUACUAUCAGCCUCCGGCGGUGCCGCAGGAUGUCCAGCCGGAUCGUCCCAUCGGCUAUGGAGCAUUCGGCGUUGUCUGGGCCGUUACAGAUCCCCGGGAUGGACGACGUGUGGCCCUCAAGAAGCUGCCAAAUGUAUUCCAAUCGCUGGUCUCAUCGAAACGCGUUUUCCGUGAACUGAAAAUGCUUUGCUUCUUCAAGCACGAGAACGUACUUUCGGCCUUGGAUAUACUACAGCCGCCGCAUUUGGAUUUCUUUCAAGAAAUCUAUGUGAUAACGGAACUGCUGCAAUCGGAUCUACACAAGAUAAUAGUAUCGCCGCAGCACCUAUCCGCCGACCACAUCAAGGUGUUCCUCUACCAGAUCCUGCGCGGCCUCAAGUAUCUACACUCGGCCCGCAUCCUGCAUCGCGACAUCAAGCCCGGCAAUCUGCUGGUCAACUCGAACUGUGUCCUCAAGAUCUGCGAUUUUGGUCUGGCCCGCGUUGAGGAGCCGGAUCAGGCCAAGCACAUGACCCAGGAGGUGGUCACCCAGUACUACAGGGCACCGGAGAUUCUGAUGGGCGCCCGUCACUACUCCUCGGCGGUGGAUGUGUGGUCGGUGGGCUGUAUUUUCGGUGAACUGCUGGGUCGUCGGAUUCUCUUCCAGGCCCAGAACCCCGUGCAGCAACUGGAGCUGAUCACAGAGCUGCUGGGCACGCCCACCAUGGAGGAUAUGCGUCAUGCAUGCGAGGGCGCCCGCACCCACAUGCUGCGCCGGGCCCCCAAGCCGCCAUCCUUUUCGGUGCUCUACACACUCAGCUCCCAUGCCACACACGAAGCGGUGCACCUGCUCUGCCAGAUGCUGGUCUUUGAUCCGGACAAGCGCAUUUCGGUGACGGAUGCCCUGGCGCAUCCGUAUCUGGACGAGGGUCGGCUGCGUUACCAUUCCUGCAUGUGCAAGUGCUGCUUCACGACCUCGGCUGGAAUGCGCCAGUACACGGCCGACUUCGAGCCCUCCGCCGGCCAGCCCUUCGAUGAUCUGUGGGAGCGUAAGCUCACAUCCGUGCAGCAGGUCAAGGAGGAGAUGCACAAGUUCAUAGCCGAGCAGCUGCAGACGGGUCGGGUGCCGCUCUGCAUCAAUCCACAGAGUGCGGCCUUCAAGAGCUUCGCCAGCCAAUGAGAAUGAGAAUAUCUACUACUACUACCACUACCACUACUACUACCACUACAACUUGCACUGCUGCUCCUGCCGCUGCUCCACAUCGCCGCCGCCUAUACGAUUCAGCCCGCUGAUAUUAAGACGAUUAUGAUCUAGAAUCUACAUAGAAUCCCAGACUCAGAUCAAGAACCCUAGGCGAGCGAUCGAUCUCUCAAAUCAAAAAAUAAAAAUCUAACAAGUAAAGCGCAGAGGAGUCAAGUCACAAGAUACAGAUAACCAGUAAUCUGCCGAAUGAAUAAAUGAAUGACGAAUGAUUAAACCAUGAUAAAGAUACAAUAAUACAGAUACAGAUACAGAUUUACCGAAAAUGAGUCCUCGGGGCGGCAACAGAACAGUCUCUCUACUCCUUUUUAGCUCGACUGUGGCACAUCCCUCGGAGCUGCCGCCGUCGCCUCAUCAAUGGGAAUGACGGCAAAAUGAGGCGAUUGCUGCCUAAAACCGAAACAAAAGCAACUCAGCCAAACAAUAAGCCCUCGCCGAAGUACUAGAACAGGAGGAUCCCCCAGUACCACCCCCAAAAACCAGUCCAAAUCAACCCAAAACCCCACAGAGGAUGUGCAACGCAGCCAGGAACAACGUUUAAAUCAUUUUUUUAAGCGCCAAUACAGCUUUUAAGCGGCGUUUGUCUGUUUAAAAGUUGAAGCAUUCCACCACCGAAAAAUAACUAAACGAAAAACAAAAACAAAAAUAUUUAAUAAUAUUAUAGACAAAACAAAUAUGUAACGUAACUCAACUGAAACUAGUCUAAAACAAAAACAAAAGCAAGCAAUUGUAGUUAAAAAAGCAGCAGCAGAGACACAAAACCCGCAAGUUAAAAAAAAUUAAAAGCUAAAAAACUUAAAAACUAAAAAAAAGAUAUGUAAGCAAAAGAAAAAAAUUGAGAGAAGAUCGGGAGCAGUUUCUACGCACUAAAUGCAAAGCGUAAAGGUCUUAAAUAAUGUUAAUUUAUUGGCAACAAAGAGUAUGUACAUUUUGUUGUGCUUGACGAGAAUUGCAACGAUUUCGAUUCGAAUUCAAACAAAACAAACAAAACACACAAAGAAACAAAACGUUUUAUGUUAAGCUCCUAAGAAAAAAUCUAUGUAUAUGUAAAUUAAUUAGCAACACACAGACAUCGUAUUCAUUAUUAUAUAUAUAUAUAUUAAUAUCGCUUAACUAUUAAAUAUAUCGAGAUACAUAUAUUUAAAAUAAAAUAGUAACAAAAUGCACACAAAUCCCAACAUUUGUUUGCCGAAAAUUUACCUCAAAGCGAGUAAAACCAUAAGCGAAUAGCUUCUUCAGCCACGAAAUGAUUAAUUGAUUUUCUGUUAGCUUACGAUUACAAAAAAUAUAUAUAUAAAGUAUGAAAACUAAAUCUAAUUGUGUGUAGCAACAGCUAAAGUGGUGUACUAAAAUGCUGACAAAAUUUUAUUUCAAAUUAUGCAACUACUUUCAUUUUAAAAACAAAAAACAAACAAACAUUUGAAGCUUCAAUUUUGAAACUGGUUUCUAGAUGUAUACUGACUAAGCGAUGGUCAGAGUUUCCACAACUCGUAUAUAUACACUUAUACACUAUAUAUAUAUAUAUAGCAACUGUAAGCUGACCCAAAACUCAUUAUUAGAAAAAACAAUUACGAAAAACAUUUGAUGAAAUUAGUUCAAAGUUUCAACUGUCGACUGAAAAAAAAAUACAAUACAUAAAUUAAUAUAAAAUAUAUAUAUAAAAAUGAAAAGAUUUCAUCUUACUUUAGUUAUGACAAAUUUCGCUUUGAUAAUAGUUUGUUUUUAAGCUUAUUAACCGUAUUCUAAAUAAUACUUAAACUAACAAGCCGACAAAGGAAAAGAAAAACCAACAAGUGGACGACACACUGCCCCCCAGUGAAUGCGAUCCAGGCGGUCGAACCCAAAACGGCUGCAAAGAUGUAUCUUCAUCUUUUGGGCCGUAAGAUAAGGUAUACCGCCUGGAUCGAUUCGAUUUUAGUUGAUAUAUAUACUUUGCUUUUAGUUGAUUACCAUGUAAUAUAGUUUAAUUUUCGACUAACUACACUUCUGUCUCUCUCAAUGCUCAUUGCUAUUGAUGCUAUAGCUAGGGUGCAGGACAGGAUCGGUUAUAGAGGAUCAAUUGCAACGGCUUCGGCUACCCCGAACAUUAUGUGUAUGUUUAAGACUGAGUUUUCUCAUUUGACGACAAUGACGAUUGAUUAACUGAGGAUAUGCAAUAUAAAAAUUCAACUUUGGUUCGCACGAAGGAGUCUAAAAUAAAUUUUGAUCUAGCCUAUAAGCAUUAAAACGAAAUUUUAAGAAAAAAAAGAAACCCACAAUUGUAUACCGACUAUACAUAUAUAUGUGUGUGUGUGCAUUUGCAUUUGUAAUUCGAAUGUCCUUUGUCUUCAAUGUUUAGAGCAAGAAAUUAUAAAUAAUGCAUGAAUAACAUAUAUAUAUAUAUAUUUAUAAUCGAUGAGAAAAACCAUUUAUGAUGUAGAUGAAGCUCUCGAAAACUGAAGCUAAACUAUAACACUUUUCCUCCACUUGAAUUCUCGUAACUGUGCUGCUUUCUUAUGUAUGUAGUUAUUAAUUGUAGCAUUAUAUAUAUAUUAACCGAUAUAUAUAAAUGUAUGGAUUAGCAUAAAACAAACGAAAAACAAAAAAACAAAAACAUAUAUGAAUUCAAAACUUUCACGGAGAUCUCAUAGCAAAAACAAAACGAAAUGAAAGAAAAGCAAAGGAAGGAAGCAUCGGUGUGCAAGAAAGUAGAGUUUCUUUUCAACUUUUUGUUUAUAAACUAAAGUUUUUCUUAACCAUUUUUAUAUAUGUAUAUGUAUAGAGAGUACCGAUUAGAGAUUACCAGCAGUUUGUUUUUUUGUCACCUCAUUUGAUCCGACACUGACACUGACACACGCACUCGAAUGCAAGCUAAUUUGACAUUUUAACCUUACAAAUCGAUUAUACAUCAUCCUACAUCUAUAAGCACAUAACUCCCCCUAGUUAUACAUACAUAGAGCUUAGGUAGUUUUCGUUCAGCUUAGGCACCGUGUACAUAA